UACGGAGGGUGCAAGCGUUGCUCGGAAUUAUUGGGCGUAAAGGGUAGGUAGGUGGUCUCAUUUGUCUGGGGUGAAAGCCUUGAGCUUAACUCAAGAAGUGCCCCAGAAACGGUGAGACUAGAGUCCUGGAGAGGGUCGUGGAAUUCCCGGUGUAGCGGUGAAAUGCGUAGAGAUCGGGAGGAACACCUGAGGCGAAGGCGGCGACCUGGACAGGCACUGACACUCAACUACGAAAGCGUGGGGAGCAAACAGG
rnacentral:rRNA from 1 species